rnacentral:rRNA from 1 species
UACGAAGGGGGCUAGCGUUGCUCGGAAUCACUGGGCGUAAAGCGCACGUAGGCGGACUCUUAAGUCGGUGGUGAGAUCCUGGAGCUCAACUCCAGAACUGCCUUCGAUACUGAGAGUCUCGAGUCCGGGAGAGGUGAGUGGAACUGCGAGUGUAGAGGUGAAAUUCGUAGAUAUUCGCAAGAACACCAGUGGCGAAGGCGGCUCACUGGCCCGGUACUGACGCUGAAUAGCGAAAGCCAGGGGAGCAAACGGG